rnacentral:rRNA from 1 species
UACGUAGGGGGCUAGCGUUGUCCGGAUUUAUUGGGCGUAAAGAGCGUGUAGGCGGCCAGGUAGGUCCGUUGUGAAAACUCGAGGCUCAACCUCGAGACGUCGGCGGAAACCCUCUGGCUAGAGUCCGGAAGAGGAGAGUGGAAUUCCUGGUGUAGCGGUGAAAUGCGCAGAUAUCAGGAGGAACACCGGUGGCGAAGGCGGUUCUCUGGGCCUUACCUGACGCUGAGGAGCGAAAGCGUGGGGAGCAAACAGG